CAGUCUCUUUUUUCUUCUAGAUAGACGACGCCCACCAGCUCCACCCUCCGGUCUUUUCUCUCCUUCCCUCUAGCUCGCAGCCGCCGCGCGUGACUCCAGAUCUCCCGCGGCGCGACCAUGGCGGCGGAAGGCAAGGUCCCGACGCUGGCCGAGGAAUAUUCACUCCCACCCAAGGAGGUCUCUGUGGAAAAAUCUGCUACGAGCACUGUGGCCGAAGUUGUUCCUCAGAAGGAUACUGAAACCUCACCAGCUGAUGAGACCGCUGCUGCUGUUGAGGAAAAAAGUGAAACUCCUGAGGUGAAAGAGCCAGAAGCGGAAGAAACCGUUCCUGCUGCAGAGGAAAGCGAUGAGGCUCCUGAGGAAACUGAAGAGAAACCAGAAAUUGUGAUUGAGACUGCUCCAGCAGAUUUUCGUUUCCCCACAACAAAUCAAACAAGACAUUGCUUCACGCGCUAUGUUGAAUACCAUAGGUGCGUAGCUGCAAAAGGAGAUGAUGCUCCUGAGUGUGAAAAGUUUGCAAAGUACUAUCGAUCACUAUGCCCAAGUGAAUGGGUUGAACGUUGGAACGAGCAACGGGAGAAUGGCACAUUCCCUGGACCCCUGUAAGCUUCAGUGGCGCUGGAAGGACAAACAUACCAUCAUCCCCACCUAUUCUCCCUGGUGACUGGACAAAGUUACUUUCUGCCGAGAAUUCGUCACCUUCCUUUCCUUUUUGAGGACUACUUACAAAUAAGUUUUUGACUUGAUGUAAGCUGAAGGUGUUGCCCAUCAGUUUCUCCCAACGAUCAUUCACUGGAUUUUAUACAACAUCCACCUUUGGAAUUUGACUGAACUUGCUGUUUUGCGCGGCACGGUUCAAGACGGUCAUUUUGGUUGCACAGGAAAUUUCGAAACCGCGUGGAAUAAAAUUAGCAACCUAGUUCUAGCAGUGCCAAUGUUUCAGAAACCCAUUUCAUUUCUACCGUCUUCUAAGCAGUACAUUUUAUUUGGUUAUAUAGCUUAUAGGGCAUAUAAUCUGCAUAAAGGAGGCAAUGACCUGCUUCUUAAUUCACAAGGCAUUGUGCGAACCUGAAAUUUGGUGUGGUUACUAUUGAUCAGUCUUUCUUGUGCUGGAAUGUGAAAAGUAGCUCUCUACGCUGGCCUAUUGAAGCACAUGCUGCUGAAAAGUAGACUUGGAGUUAGCUCUACUAGGAGGGGGUAUGUUUGAAUGGUGUCCAAUACUUCUGUAGUCAUGGUCAGGUUGGUGUUUGUCUAGAUGGUUGCCAAUAUUUUGGUCUGCCAAUGACAAUUUGGCAACUCAACUUCAUUUUUCUAGCCAAUGUUAGUCAAGCCAUGGGUAAAUAUAAGCCUGACCAAAAUAUUGGCUAGCCAAAUUUUUAUUAGAGCUAUCUUGGGCUCAAACUAAACACCCAUGUGACAUGAGUAGAUGAACGCCCUGAGUGGGUUAGCCAAAUAUUGACUUGAUCAAUACAAUCGGACAACCUCUUGCAUUGAUAAUGAACGGUCACAUUGUUGAGUAGUACUCUUCAGUUAUCGAACAAUGUCAUUUGACUUGUACCAACCGAGGUAUCAAGCUUCAGUUAUCGAACAAUGUCAUUUGACUUGUACCAACCGAGGUAUCAAGCGAUCCAUUCAUCCAAGCAAGGCACAAAGCAAUGUCCUCUUGGCUACGGUAGUUCGUUGAACUUGCCUUCUUGAUGCUUGUUUGUGUCUCCACAAGAUCACCGACCUCCUCAACUUGGGAUCAUCCUCCCUCGCACGACCAUGGACAUCUUUAUGUCAUCGAGGCAAAGUAUGUGUGAUUCAUCCAACUGAUACAUGAAACUUGCAUCAUCAUAUUCAUCCACGCUACAAUCACCAAGAACAAACACAUCACACGAUCAUCACCGCAUUGCAUCACCAAAAUCCCUAGCUAAAAAAUGAAAAAUGCUUUUGUUCCUUUCAGGCAUUGCGUUAGACACUUGGUGGGCAUGAUCCUCGUCGACAGUUGCGAUGGUCGUAGGUGGCAGCGGAUAAGGUGAUGGAGUGGCCGAAGAUGGAGGAGAAGACGUCGGAGUCGGCGAACGUGGAGAAGGCGUCAAAGUGGGUGACUUAUUCCUCUUCUUCGUUGUUGCCUCGUUGUGGGCCUUGGCCACCAGCGCUGGUUUUCUCGUUUGCUUGCUGUCGGUAGGAGAAACUGGUGGGCGGGUGGUCGUCUUCAUGGAUGACACGGCCUUGCCGCCGGCCUUCGUGGACAGCGCGACAGAGCGCACGAUGGUCUUCAUCCCGAGCCACUUCCUUGCCAUGGGCGGCGGAGGCAGUCAGUGUUUUAACUCCCGUCAAAAUCGGGUCCUCCGAUGGCUGCGGUGGUGACAUUCGGCAGCAGAGGCAGGAAGAGGGGCAUCAUGGGGGGAGAGAGGAGGGAAUAUUUUGCUAAGAAGUGGUGGCAGAUGCUCAAAAUUGAGAGAGUGGGGGAGGUUUUUUGGCUUACCUUUUAGGAGUUAAUAGUUUGAGGAGUUCGGUUAGGUGCGGCUUAACUCCUCAAAACAGAAUCUUUCAAGGAGUUAGCCGUUUUUGAGAGUUUGGCUAGAGAUGCUCUAACAACCUAAAGUUGUCUAAAGCUUCAAAUUAAACCAUUUACUAGAAAGGAAAAAGGGGUAGGAGCUGAGCGCCUAAGCCAUUCCUCUCAAGAUGUUGCUCUCUAUUGUACGGUUGUACAAUUACUCUGAAGUGGUAAGUUGAUGAUAUGACUUUAGGGGAGAUCAAGCUUUGUGUAGUGUUACUUUGUCUAUAGCUCUUGCAUACAGUGCAAGAAACCCAACGGGAACAAGCUCUUGAGAUUGUCUGAGUUGUUACUCUCUUAGAUCCGUUCCAUUUUAUUGUGUUCUUUGGAGACGCUUGUGAGUUUUUUUUCUUUUGGCGUUGAGAUGCUUGUGAGUUCAUUAUGAGUUUCUAGACCGGU
rnacentral:rRNA from 1 species